CAAUCAAACUCUACAGAUGGAUGUAUCUCUUAAUAUUCCAGAAUGGGAGAUGUGCAGAGACUGCCAGAUAGAAGGAAAGCAAUGUGGAUUUAGCCGCAGAAGAAACCAAACUGCCUGCUUAGCGAGGCGCCAUGGAACAACAAACAUUGGGCUCAUAGUUGGUGAGUCCUUGUACCACUUUAAUAUGUAUUCUUGAGCAAACAAUUAUUUGAGAAAAUAAAUUCUACAUAGUCAAUUCAUUAGAACUAAAUAUAAAUUUUAUAAUAUUACUAGUUCAAUCUCUUUAUUGAUUC